rnacentral:rRNA from 1 species
UACAGAGGGUGCAAGCGUUAAUCGGAAUUACUGGGCGUAAAGCGCACGUAGGUGGGUUUGUAAGUUGUUGGUGAAAAGCUUGGGCUUAACCUGGGUCUGUCCAGCAAAACUGCGAGCCUAGAGUGUAUUAGAGGGAAGUGGAAUUUCCGGUGUAGCAGUGAAAUGCGUAGAUAUCGGAAGGAACACCAGUGGCGAAGGCGACUUCCUGGAAUACUACUGACACUGAGGUGCGAAAGCGUGGGGAGCAAACAGG